CCAUCUGCAUGCGUCAUCUUCUCAGUUCUCACGUAUGCGUCGUGGCGCUCUCAUGAACUCACAUCAGAGGCCCACACUGAAGAAAAUUAAUAGUUGAAUAAAGUCGUUAUUUAUAUAUUUUUAUUUUUUGUGCACAAAAAGUAUUCUCAUUGCUUGAUAAACUUCUAGAUGAGCCACUUUAGUCACUUGGACUAUUUUAACGAUGUCUUUACUAACUUUUCUGGGCCAGCAGGAUGAAAUUACCUAGAAGCCUAUGAAGGAGUGAGGCAGCUAUCAAAUUUCAUCAAAAAUAUCUUAAUUUGUGUUCAGAAGAUGAACGAAAGUCUGACGGGGUUGUAACAACAUGAGCACAAGAGAGAGUGUGAAACCAUCAGCUGUUUGCUAGUCUGCUAAAAAGACCUGUCCAGUCUAUACCAACAUGAAAAAAAAAAGAAUUCUUGGACUGAAAGAAACUCCUGCGUCCAUUUGGGCUGAAGGUCAAGACAGAACCAAACCAAAGCUGGACUGUAACCUACUGGCCUAUAUGACAGACUUCAUACUGACAACUACUGGCAUGGAUGCUGCAUCACAUGUUUUUGAACAAAAACUUUUUCACUUUGAAUUUAAAGUGUGGAGUAUUCCUCCCCCAUGAGGAGACUCUAUGUCUUCAUCUCUUGUGAGUGGAUAUCAUUUUAAACAUUCUUUUACAGAACUGCUCAUUUCUUCUGAAUUUAUUUUGUAGUAUGUAAGAAUUUUCCAUUU